rnacentral:miRNA from 10 species
ACAACUAUUUGCAAUUUUGUAUUUUGUUAUUAGGUUGGUGCAAAAACUGCAAUUACUUUUGCACCAGCCUAAUAC